UGAAAAGAAAGCCCAUUUGGAUGAGGAAGUUCUGGAGGCUAGAAGUCUAAGAUCAAGAUGGUAGAAGAUUGAUUCCUUCUGAAGGCUGUGAGGAAGAUUGGUGAUUUUGGUCUCAUCAGGCCCUCUCCCUGGUGUUUGAGGGAUUUUGGACUGAACUGGCCUUUUCAUGGCGAUAAAAGUGAUUACCGUGCCGGUGGGUCGGAGGAAUGAACAGCAGGCUGCUGAUCGCCGUGAGGGGCUUUGGAACUGCAUUACCACCCAGGGAUUUAGGGCGUCUGAAGUUCCUUAAAGUGCCCAGCCUGCUGGGCUGAGUGUGCAAGGAUGAUUUUGUCCACCUGUUAAACCCUUUUAAAGUGCCCACUUUUCUUUUGUCCCAGGGUAGGCAGCUGUGCAGACCUGUUCACAGUCUUAUUCUCAGACUCUGCUUUUUGGUUUCUCUAAUAUCCAGUACACCAUGCAAUGUGUGUCUGUGCUCCCAGUGCAGAUUACUAGGGCUGGUUAUUUAGCAGUCCUGUGCUUCCACUCUCCCCACUCUGUUUCUUUUCCUCCUGCUGGUG